UACAGAGGUCUCAAGCGUUGUUCGGAUUCAUUGGGCGUAAAGGGCGUGUAGGCGGCGCCGUAAGUCGGGUGUGAAAUUUCGGAGCUUAACUCCGAAACUGCAUUCGAUACUGCGGUGCUUGAGGACUGGAGAGGAGACUGGAAUUCAUGGUGUAGCAGUGAAAUGCGUAGAGAUCAUGAGGAAGACCAGUGGCGAAGGCGGGUCUCUGGACAGUUCCUGACACUGAGACACGAAGGCCAGGGGAGCAAACGGG
rnacentral:rRNA from 1 species